CGGAAGGUCCGGGCGUUAUCCGGAUUUAUUGGGGUUAAGGGAGCGUAGGCUGUCUAUUAAGCGUGUUGUGAAAUUUACCGGCUCAACCGGUGGCUUGCAGCGCGAACUGGUCGACUUGAGUAUGCAGGAAGUAGGCGGAAUUCAUGGUGUAGCGGUGAAAUGCUUAGAUAUCAUGACGAACUCCGAUUGCGCAGGCAGCUUACUGUAGCAUAACUGACGCUGAUGCUCGAAAGUGCGGGUAUCAAACAGGAUU
rnacentral:rRNA from 1 species